CCAGGCUCAUAGGCAGCGUAGAGUGUGAGCCUGGCUGUAGAGAGAGCUUGUUUGGGAGAGAGGGGGACGGGUGGGGAGCCUCGAUCUGUUGGUAGUGGGGGAUAACGUUCGGAAACAGAAAAUAAUACCGCAUACGUCCUACGGGAGAAAGCAGGGGACCUUCGGGCCUUGCGCUAUCAGAUGAGCCUAGGUCGGAUUAGCUAGUUGGUGAGGUAAUGGCUCACCAAGGCGACGAUCCGUAACUGGUCUGAGAGGAUGAUCAGUCACACUGGAACUGAGACACGGUCCAGACUCCUACGGGAGGCAGCAGUGGGGAAUAUUGGACAAUGGGCGAAAGCCUGAUCCAGCCAUGCCGCGUGUGUGAAGAAGGUCUUCGGAUUGUAAAGCACUUUAAGUUGGGAGGAAGUGGUUGCUUAUAUAUACUGUGCAAUUUUUGACGUUACCGACAGAAUAAGCACCGGCUAACCCUGA
rnacentral:rRNA from 1 species